rnacentral:ncRNA from 1 species
GGGACCGGUCGCGACUGGCGAGGGUGGGGCACCACCGGGGAGCGACCGCCCCAUGUGGAGGGGACGUCGCCCGCCUGGGCGUCCCGC